GUGUUCAAGUUUUUAAGGGCAUACGGUGGAUGCCUUGGCAUCAGGAGCCGAUGAAGGACGUGGAAGCCUGCGAUAUGCCUCGGGGAGUCGGCAACCAGACUUUGAUCCGGGGAUUUCCGAAUGGGGAAACCUGGCACCCGUCAUGGGGUGUCGCCGCCGUCUGAAUGUAUAGGGCGGUUGGUGGGAACGCGGGGAAGUGAAACAUCUCAGUACCCGCAGGAAGAGAAAACAAGAGUGAUUCCGUGAGUAGUGGUGAGCGAAAGCGGAAGAGCCUAAACCGUGCGCGUGUGAUAGCCGGCAGGCGUUGCGUGUGCGGGGUUGUGGGACCAUCCUGGGUCAGCUGCCGCUGGUCCGAAGAGUUACAAAACAUCGUGAUAGUCGAACGGCAUGGGAAGGCCGACCGUAGACGGUGAGAGUCCGGUAGACGAAAUUUCGAUGUCUCUUGGGUGUGUUCCCCGAGUAGCACGGGGCCCGUGAAAUCCCCGUGUGAAUCUGCCACGACCACGUGGUAAGGCUGAAUACUCCCUGAUGACCGAUAGCGGACAAGUACCCGUGAGGGAAAGGUGAAAAGUGCCCCGGUGAGGGGUCGUGAAAUAGUACCUGAAACCCGUGUGCCUACAAGCCGUCAGAAGCGUCCUCAGGCCUCCCUUGUGGGCCUGUUCGUGAUGGCGUGCCUUUUGAAGAAUGAGCCUGCGAGUUAUGGUGUGUGGCCAAGGUUAACCGGUGUCGGGUAGCCGUAGCGAAAGCGAGUCUGAAUAGGGCGUUUUUAGUCGCAUGCUGUAGACCCGAAGCGGGGUGAUCUAGCCAUGGGCAGGGUGAAGCGCCGGUAAGACGGUGUGGAGGCCCGAACCCACCAGGGUUGAAAACCUGGGGGAUGACCUGUGGUUAGGGGUGAAAGGCCAAUCAAACUCCGUGAUAGCUGGUUCUCCCCGAAAUGCAUUUAGGUGCAGCGUCGCGUGUUUCUUGCCGGAGGUAGAGCUACUGGAUGGCCGAUGGGCCCGACAAGGUUACUGACGUCAGCCAAACUCCGAAUGCCGGUAAGUGAGAGCGUGGCAGUGAGACUGCGGGGGAUAAGCUUCGUAGUCGAGAGGGAAACAGCCCAGAUCAUCGGCUAAGGCCCCUAAGCGUGUGCUAAGUGGGAAAGGAUGUGGAGUUGCCGUGACAACCAGGAGGUUGGCUUAGAAGCAGCCAUCCUUGAAAGAGUGCGUAAUAGCUCACUGGU
rnacentral:rRNA from 1 species